CAAGUCACUGGUAUGUUAGGAUGGAAAUUUAAAUAACAGGUCACAUGAUAUACAUCUACAGCAUUUGGGGGAGGGAUAUGGAGUACUACAUACAAAACCGUCUCUAAUACUGUUGUCUUAACUAGAGACAGCUGCAGCUAAAUGACUACAAUGAAUUGAUAGAAAAUGGAGAGUAUCCAAAUAUCUACUAUCAAAUAGAAUAUCUGUAAC